rnacentral:tRNA from 1 species
CAUAAGGUAGUUCAAUUAGAAUACUAGCAUUGGAAGUUAGAGAUUAAGGCUAAUACUUACCUUUUGA